AGGUAAGCUACUAAGAGCGAAUGGUGGAUGCCUUGACUGGUAAAGGCGAUGAAGGACGUACUAGACUGCGAUAAGCUACGGGGAGCUGUCAAGAAGCUUUGAUCCGUAGAUUUCCGAAUGGGGCAACCCAAUGUAUAGAGAUAUACAUUACCUAUAUAGGAGCGAACGAGGGGAAUUGAAACAUCUUAGUACCCUCAGGAAAAGAAAUCAAUAGAGAUUGCGUCAGUAGCGGCGAGCGAAAGCGCAAGAGGGCAAACCCAGUGCUUGCACUGGGGGUUGUAGGACUGCAAUGUGCAAGAGCUGAGUUUAGCAGAACAUUCUGGAAAGUAUAGCCAUAGAGGGUGAUAGUCCCGUAUGCGAAAAACAAAGCUUAGCUAGCAGUAUCCUGAGUAGGGCGGGACACGAGGAAUCCUGUCUGAAUCCGGGUCGACCACGAUCCAACCCUAAAUACUAAUACCAGAUCGAUAGUGCACAAGUACCGUGAGGGAAAGGUGAAAAGAACUGAGGUGAUCAGAGUGAAAUAGAACCUGAAACCAUUUGCUUACAAUCAUUCAGAGCCCUAUGUAGCAAUACAGGGUGAUGGACUGCCUUUUGCAUAAUGAGCCUGCGAGUUGUGGUGUCUGGCAAGGUUAAGCAAACGCGAAGCCGUAGCGAAAGCGAGUCUGAAUAGGGCGCUUAGUCAGAUGCUGCAGACCCGAAACGAAGUGAUCUAUCCAUGAGCAAGUUGAAGCUAGUGUAAGAACUAGUGGAGGACUGAACCCAUAGGCGUUGAAAAGCCCCGGGAUGACUUGUGGAUAGGGGUGAAAGGCCAAUCAAACUUCGUGAUAGCUGGUUCUCUCCGAAAUAUAUUUAGGUAUAGCGUUGUGUCGUAAUAUAAGGGGGUAGAGCACUGAAUGGGCUAGGGCAUACACCAAUGUACCAAACCCUAUCAAACUCCGAAUACCUUAUAUGUAAUCACAGCAGUCAGGCGGCGAGUGAUAAAAUCCGUCGUCAAGAGGGAAACAACCCAGACUACCAGCUAAGGUCCCUAAAUCUUACUUAAGUGGAAAACGAUGUGAAGUUACUUAAACAACCAGGAGGUUGGCUUAGAAGCAGCCAUCCUUUAAAGAAAGCGUAAUAGCUCACUGGUCUAGUGAUUUUGCGCGGAAAAUAUAACGGGGCUAAAGUAAGUACCGAAGCUGUAGACUUAGUUUACUAAGUGGUAGGAGAGCGUUCUAUUUGCGUCGAAGGUAUACCGGUAAGGAGUGCUGGAGCGAAUAGAAGUGAGCAUGCAGGCAUGAGUAGCGAUAAUUAAUGUGAGAAUCAUUAACGCCGUAAACCCAAGGUUUCCUACGCGAUGCUCGUCAUCGUAGGGUUAGUCGGGUCCUAAGUCGAGUCCGAAAGGGGUAGACGAUGGCAAAUUGGUUAAUAUUCCAAUACCAACAUUAGUGUGCGAUGGAAGGACGCUUAGGGCUAAGGGGGCUAGCGGAUGGAAGUGCUAGUCUAAGGUCGUAGGAGGUUAUACAGGCAAAUCCGUAUAACAAUACUCCGAGAACUGAAAGGCUUUUUGAAGUCUUCGGAUGGAUAGAAGAACCCCUGAUGCCGUCGAGCCAAGAAAAGUUUCUAAGUUUAGCUAAUGUUGCCCGUACCGUAAACCGACACAGGUGGGUGGGAUGAGUAUUCUAAGGCGCGUGGAAGAACUCUCUUUAAGGAACUCUGCAAAAUAGCACCGUAUCUUCGGUAUAAGGUGUGGUUAGCUUUGUAUUAGGAUUUACUCCGAAAGCAAGGAAACUUACAACAAAGAGUCCCUCCCGACUGUUUACCAAAAACACAGCACUCUGCUAACUCGUAAGAGGAUGUAUAGGGUGUGACGCCUGCCCGGUGCUCGAAGGUUAAUUGAUGGGGUUAGCAUUAGCGAAGCUCUUGAUCGAAGCCCGAGUAAACGGCGGCCGUAACUAUAACGGUCCUAAGGUAGCGAAAUUCCUUGUCGGUUAAAUACCGACCUGCAUGAAUGGCGUAACGAGAUGGGAGCUGUCUCAAAGAGGGAUCCAGUGAAAUUGUAGUGGAGGUGAAAAUUCCUCCUACCCGCGGCAAGACGGAAAGACCCCGUGGACCUUUACUACAGCUUGACACUGCUACUUGGAUAAGAAUGUGCAGGAUAGGUGGGAGGCUUUGAGUAUAUGACGCCAGUUGUAUAUGAGCCAUUGUUGAGAUACCACUCUUUCUUAUUUGGGUAGCUA
rnacentral:rRNA from 1 species